rnacentral:rRNA from 1 species
AUUGAACGCUGGCGGCAGGCUUAACACAUGCAAGUCGAGCGAGCGGCGGACGGGUGAGUAAUGUAUGGGAAACUGCCUGAUGGAGGGGGAUAACUAGUGGAAACGGUAGCUAAUAGCGCAUACAAACAGUGGUGGCCGGAGGGGAUUAGCUAGUGGGGGGGGUAAUGGCUCACCUAGGCGACGAUCCCUAGCUGGUCUGAGAGGAUGAGCAGCCACACUGGAACUGAGACACGGUCCAGACUCCUACGGGAGGCAGCAGUGGGGAAUAUUGCACAAUGGGCGCAAGCCUGAUGCAGCCAUGCCUCGUGUGUGAAGAAGGCCUUCGUGUUGUAAAGCACUUUCAGCGAGGAGGCGUUACUCGCAGAAGAAGCACCGGCUAACUCCGUGCCAGCAGCCGCGGUAAUUC